rnacentral:tRNA from 1 species
GGGGCUGUGACUCAGUGGUAGAGCACUUGCCUAGCAUGCAUGAGGCACUGGGUUUGAUUCCCAGCACCA